rnacentral:rRNA from 1 species
AUUGAACGCUGGCGGCAGGCCUAACACAUGCAAGUCGAACGAGUGGCGGACGGGUGAGUAAGGUCUGGGAAUCUGCCUGAGGGAGGGGGAUAACUAAUGGAAACGGUAGCUAAUAACGCAUACAAGCAGCUGGGCCCAGAGGGGAUUAGCUAGUUGGUGGGGUAACGGCUCACCAAGGCGACGAACCCUAGCUGGUCUGAGAGGAUGACCAGUCACACUGGAACUGAGACACGGUCCAGACUCCUACGGGAGGCAGCAGUGGGGAAUAUUGCACAAUGGGCGCAAGCCUGAUGCAGCCAUGCCGCGUGUAUGAAGAAGGCCUUCGGGUUGUAAAGUACUUUCAGCGGGGAGGCGUUACCAGCAGAAGAAGCACCGGCUAACUCCGUGCCAGCCGCCGCGGUAAUUC